GAUGAACGCUGGCGGCGUGCUUAACACAUGCAAGUCGAACGAGAUCUUCGGGUCUAGUGGCGCACGGGUGCGUAACGCGUGGGAAUCUGCCCUUUGGUUCGGAAUAACAGUUGGAAACGACUGCUAAUACCGGAUGGUGACGAAAGUCCAAAGAUUUAUCGCCAGAGGAUGAGCCCGCGUAGGAUUAGCUAGUUGGUGUGGUAAAGGCGCACCAAGGCGACGAUCCUUAGCUGGUCUGAGAGGAUGAUCAGCCACACUGGGACUGAGACACGGCCCAGACUCCUACGGGAGGCAGCAGUGGGGAAUAUUGGACAAUGGGCGAAAGCCUGAUCCAGCAAUGCCGCGUGAGUGAUGAAGGCCUUAGGGUUGUAAAGCUCUUUUACCCGGGAUGAUAAUGACAGUACCGGGAGAAUAAGCUCCGGCUAACUCCGUGCCAGCAGCCGCCGUAA
rnacentral:rRNA from 1 species